GGCUCAGGAUGAACGCUAGCGGCAGGCCUAAUACAUGCAAGUCGAACGGAUGUAGCAAUACAUUAGUGGCGCACGGGUGCGUAACGCGUAUACAAUCUACCGCUGACUGGGGGAUAACUAGCCGAAAGGUUAGCUAAUACCGCGUAAUAGAGAGAGGGGCAUCCCUUUCACUUAAAAACUUUGGUGGUCAGCGAUGAGUAUGCGUGCCAUUAGCUAGUUGGUAGGGUAACGGCCUACCAAGGCGACGAUGGCUAGGGGUUCUGAGAGGAAGAUCCCCCACACUGGUACUGAGAUACGGACCAGACUCCUACGGGAGGCAGCAGUAAGGAAUAUUGGGCAAUGGUCGGAAGACUGACCCAGCCAUGCCGCGUGCAGGAAGAAGGCGCUUAGCGUUGUAAACUGCUUUUGUCGGAGAAGAAAAUACCCCUGCGGGGGUGCCUGACGGUAUCCGACGAAUAAGCAUCGGCUAACUACGUGCCAGCAGCCGCGGUAAUACGUAGGAUGCAAGCGUUGUCCGGAUUUAUUGGGUUUAAAGGGUGCGUAGGUGGGGAAUUAAGUCGUGGGUGAAAGCUGGUAGCUCAACUAUCAAAAUGCCUGCGAUACUGGUUUUCUUGAAUACGGUGGAGGUAACUGGAAUGGGUGGUGUAGCGGUGAAAUGCAUAGAUACCAUCCGGAACACCAAUUGCGUAGGCAGGUUACUACGCCGUGAUUGACACUGAGGCACGAAAGCGUGGGGAUCAAACAGGAUUAGAUACCCUGGUAGUCCACGCCGUAAACGAUGAUGACUCGUUGUUAGCGAUAUACCGUUAGCGACUUAGGGAAACCGUUAAGUCAUCCACCUGGGGAGUACGUCG
rnacentral:rRNA from 1 species